ACCCGCUGAAUUUAAGCAUAUCACUAAGCGGAGGAAAAGAAACUAACCAGGAUUCCCCUAGUAACGGCGAGUGAAGAGGGAAUAGCCCAGCACCGAAGCCUGCGGCAGCUUUGCUGUUAGGCAAUGUGGUGUUUGGGCCGGCUCGUGGGAUUGCCACUCCAUUCGAAGUCCAGCAUUGAGUAUGGUUUCCAUUUGAUUGUUGGCCCACAGAGGGUGAAAGGCCCGUACGAAUGGAGGUUCAGACAAGUAAGGCAAUCCACCAGGCCGGCCUUCGAGUCGGGUUGUUUGGGAAUGCAGCCCAAAGUGGGUGGUAAACUCCAUCCAAGGCUAAAUACUAGCACGAAUCCGAUAGCGAACAAGUACCGUGAGGGAAAGUUGAAAAGUACUUUGAAAAGAGAGUAAACAGCACGUGAAACCGCAUAAAGGUAAACGGGUGGCGUCAAGCUGCAAGCCCGAAGGAUUCAGCCGGCAAGGAUGUUGUGUAUGCGCCUAGCGCAUCUAUCAGUCGGUAUAAACAUCAGUAGCCCAUUCGCUGAGAACGGGUUCUGCCGUCUCGUCUCUGGUCAGCCUCGGCUGCCCAGUGAUGUUCGUCGGAAUAUGCGUACCGGGCGGAUGCCGGAGCAUGCUACUGGUCUGUUGGACUGCCUUGCCGGUGCACUUCCUUCGUGGUCAACACCACGACCGGUGGUAUUGCCAGUCUGCUCUAGUCAACCUGUCCAUGGUCUACCAUCUACUGGUCGACCGUAGGCAAUCACAGGCAAGUCUUGUCAACGGCGUUAGUCUACCCCGGUAGGCUGGCGUGUUAUCGUUGUCUGCUUGUCAACGGGCCUGUCAUUGGUUGUUGCAUCUGCCAUCGACUCGCCUGGUGGACUACUGCGGUAUGAACAACUGUGCAACGCAUCGGAGUUCUCGGUCUCUUCCUCUGUGUCCAGCCUGUAUCCACGAUGCAAGUGUCUUCUCCCUCUGUGUGGCUGUGUCGCAGCCUGCCUAUUCUUGGGUCUGAUUGUCGUGUCGCCUGCACAAAGUAGGUCCGGCAGUGGCUUGAGGUAGGAUGGUGUUGCCGGCAUGGUUGCAUGUGUACAGGCUGAUGUGGACCAAAUAGUCUGUGGUGUAGUGGUAGGCCAACCACCCGACCCGUCUUGAAACACGGACCAAGGAGUUUAACAUGUAUGCAAGUCAAAGGGCUCUACGAAACCCCAAGGCGCAGUGAAAGUGAAGCUGGCGGCUAGCCCGUCAGUGAGGUGAGAUCCUGCCGUUUCUUGCAUGCCGUCAGUUCAACACUAGGCAUUGACCGGCAGGCGCAUCACCGGCCUGCUCCAUGAUGUGGUCAUUGGCUAGCCUCCAGUCGGUCUCACCAUCGGCUGGGCGUGAUGCCAGUGCGUCAUCGGGGCGGUGCAUGAGCAUACAUGUUGAGACCCGAAAGAUGGUGAACUAUGCUUGCGUAGGUUGAAGCCAGAGGAAACUCUGGUGGAGGACCGCAGCGAUUCUGACGUGCAAAUCGAUCGUCAAACGUGAGUAUAGGGGCGAAAGACUAAUCGAACCAUCUAGUAGCUGGUUCCCUCCGAAGUUUCCCUCAGGAUAGC
rnacentral:rRNA from 1 species